rnacentral:lncRNA from 1 species
AGAACAGGCAGAGGCAGUUCAGGGGUAUUCUGGUUGCCUUACCCAGCUCUGAAGUCUGUCAGCCUCUUCAGAUGUCACUUGCCAUGUGGUAAGGAAGUGUAGUCAGCAGCUGGUGCAGUGGGAAGAAGAGAAAGGAAGUUCCCCAAGACAAAAACAUCUCGGCAGACCGUGAUCAUGGGCUACAUUCUCCGUACCAGCUUCAUAGCUCCAGUGAGAAAAUAAAUUCCUGCAUCCAGGAGAUGUGGAGUAAGAGAUACAGCUGCCCUUGACCAUAUUUCUUACUUCCGAGAAGAUCGUAGCAGUAAUUCAGUCUUCAGGGAACACCAAGGCCUGUUUGAUUUUCCAAGUAUCAACAAGUGGAGUUGACAAGAGUGACAAGUGGUCAGAGCAAAGCAUUUCAUGAUGACUGUAACGUGCCUGUGUCAGCAGCGACUGCUUACAGUGAGAUUCACAUGACCAUCGUUUAUGACAUAGGAAGAAUAAAAGGAGAGAGAGAGAGAAAGAUAGGUAGUUGAUCAAAAUGAAGAAUUGGAUUUGGAAAGCAACUUCGAAUAGUCUCUGCUUAUAUUUCUGAGAUUAAGGCAAACAGUCUCAAGAAUCUCAUCCAGGAUACCUCAUCACAGGCUGGAGUGCAGUGUCAUGAGCUUGGCUCACUACAGCCUCCAUCUUCUGUGCUUAAGGAUCCUUCCCUCUCAACCUCCAAGGUAGCUGAGACUACAGGCAACAUUCGAAACCCAGGUGCCACUCCUUCAGGAAGGUACCAUCAAGCUCCAAGGACUCAUCCUCUUUCUCCUUCCCCACUACCUAGUCAUUAGAGCGUCAGCAUCCACUUCCUGAAAGGAAGAUGCCUGUUUUUCACAUAUCCCAGAAAGCCUCAUUUUAGGACAGCAUUUAGCAGAGUGUAUUCAGGAUCCCACUAACCUUUUCGGAAGACAUGACUUCCAGAUGAUAUAAGGCAAGAAUAAGAAAUUUCAGUGACAGGGAACAGAAAUCAUAUUUCUGCAUUCAGGAUCAUGUUUUCUUGGCUCCAUCAGGAACUGUGCAGGACUGUGCACUCUGUUGAUACUCACAUGGUGGAAUUAUAUUGCCCUUGGCCAACCCUAAAGCCAUCAAGAUAGCAGCAACUACUCUAUCAUUACUGUACCACCACCUGUAUGGAUCUCGUUGCCCAUAUGAAACUGAGUAAGGAACAAUGUGCAUCACACUCACAGAGAAAGAUGGACAAGUUUGGAAUAAUUCACUGUCGAAGUCUUCUUGAGCUGAGCAGUCAUGUGAGCUUGGAAGAUGAUCCCUCUCCAGCUGAUCCUUCAGCUCAGGCCAUCAUCUACAUCUGGAUUCCUGACCCGGAGAAACUAUGAGUAAUGUGUGCUGCUUUUGAGCCACUAAGCUACAUGGUAAUAGGCUAUGCUUCAAUAAACAAUAAUACACUUGAUGAUAAAAAAAAAAAAAAA